GACGAACCGUCCUAACGUUGUUCGGAAUCACUGGGCUUAAAGGGCGCGUAGGCGGGUCAGCAAGCCCGGGGUGAAAUCUUUCGGCUUAACCGGAAAAGUGCCUCGGGGACUGCUGGUCUUGAGGGAGGUAGGGGCACGCGGAACUUCUGGUGGAGCGGUGAAAUGCGUUGAUAUCAGAAGACGCCGGUGGCGAAAGCGGCGUGCUGGAUCUCUUCUGACGCUGAGGCGCGAAAGCCAGGGGAGCAAACGGG
rnacentral:rRNA from 1 species